rnacentral:miRNA from 1 species
AGCAAUGGUGGUGGUUUGGAGGAG